rfam:Glycine max cultivar Williams 82 chromosome 17, whole genome shotgun sequence.
AGGCAGCCUUCUUGCCACAAUUGUAAAAUGGCAUUAAAGGUGUUAAACUACUCGUAAAUCAAAUGCUUUUGCUCUUCAGACUUGCUGAGAUUUUCUCUGAAGCUGGUCUAGUAGGCUCAAGCACAUU